GAGGGACUAUGUGAUGCGAGCGCAUCUUGGAGUUAGAAGAUGCGCUCCGGGAAGCUCGGGGAAGGUUGCAAUUUAUUCUCAGUUAAAUUCUUGUCUCAUCAGGAAAGUGGGCCGACAGAGCCUGAAGGUGACUUGUGGCGGGGGCCAGUGGCUGCAACACAGGACAUGGGAGCUCUCUCUCCCCCUCGUGUCUUGUGUUGCAGCCAGCGGAACGGCUGCCAAUUAACUCCGUGGCCCGCUACGCGGAAACAGGCCCAGCAAAGGCGGUGGUGGGGGUCCCGGCUGUAAGCCCCCCGCAUUAUUCCCGGUGCUCCAACACUCCCGUGUCCUUGUGGUUGGCGGAUGAAUGACACCCGUGAAAAGCACAAGAUUGGUUUUCCCCACACAUACAAAAGGAGACAACUGACGGACCAUCUGCUCCGAGGCACACAUAUUCACAAAGCAUACCCGCUGUAAAAGAUUUGUCCAAGCCGCUGGGUAAUUUAAGUUUUUUGAGAAGUUAUUUUCUCUCAGAUCGGAACGUAACCGAAUUCAGCCGUAGCGGUUUGUGAUUCAGGCAGCGCAGGUUGGAGAAGGAGAGCGGGGCUGUGUCACUGGGAUCUGGAGGAUGUGUGCAUGGAAUUGGACAUGUUCGCACCGUAGAAGAAUAUGUGCUUCCUUCACCGGUGCUGCUGUUUGCUGUUAGACCUUCUGUUGCCCUGCAUAACCUCCUGUUGCAGCACCAGCGUAAAUAAAAUGGUUCACCAUUCCGGAAUGUUCCACGGUUUCCUGAGGAAACAGUAUUGUGCCGGGAAUCUGUCCUCAGACUCACAUGUGUCUGUUAUCUACUUCUGUCUAAUUUUCAUUUCCUUGUAAAAAAUACUAAUGAUUAAAUGUGGCCUUGUAUGUAAUUUGUUAAGAAGAACAUGCACAUGUAUGUCAUUAUUAGAGUUUUUGACCAUUCUUACAAUUUAAAGCUUGGCUGGUAUUUCAUUGAAAUACCGCAUGCAGGUACAUUAAGAUUGUGUUAUUAUUAAGCAUAUCAGAGUGUAGUUUUCCUUACUUUUUUUCUUUCCAUCUUACUCUCAUUAAAGUAAAUGAAAAAGG